AACAUCGCGCACCUGCGGGAACCUGCGGAGGGAUCAUUACCGAGUUUACAACUCCCAAACCCCUGUGAACAUACCAAUUGUUGCCUCGGCGGAUCAGCCCGCUCCCGGUAAAACGGGACGGCCCGCCAGAGGACCCCUAAACUCUGUUUCUAUAUGUAACUUCUGAGUAAAACCAUAAAUAAAUCAAAACUUUUAGCAACGGAUCU
rnacentral:misc_RNA from 1 species